rnacentral:rRNA from 1 species
ACGAACGCUGGCGGCGUGCCUAAUACAUGCAAGUCGAGCGCAGGAAGUCAUCCGAACCCUUCGGGGGGACGUUGACGGAAUGAGCGGCGGACGGGUGAGUAACACGUAAAGAACCUGCCCUCAGGUCUGGGAUAACCACGAGAAAUCGGGGCUAAUACCGGAUGGGUCAUCGGACCGCAUGGUCCGAGGAUGAAAGGCGCUCCGGCAUCGCCUGGGGAUGGCUUUGCGGUGCAUUAGCUAGUUGGUGGGGUAAUGGCCCACCAAGGCGACGAUGCAUAGCCGACCUGAGAGGGUGAUCGGCCACACUGGGACUGAGACACGGCCCAGACUCCUACGGGAGGCAGCAGUAGGGAAUCUUCCACAAUGGACGAAAGUCUGAUGGAGCAACGCCGCGUGAACGAUGAAGGCCCUCGGGUCGUAAAGUUCUGUUGUAAGGGAAGAACAAGUGCCGCAGGCAAUGGCGGCACCUUGACGGUACCUUGCGAGAAAGCCACGGCUAACUACGUG